rnacentral:lncRNA from 1 species
UUGACAAAUAGCACUAGAACUAAGCUCCUCUUGAGCCUCUCAGAAACACUGUCAGCUCCCAGCAUCUAGUUCUGUAUAAUGAGCUCCUGUUUUUUGACAAACAGCUUUGGUAACUUAAAUUUCUUGCCUGAGUAACAGCCCAAGUGAAACAACAUUUUUGUUAUUGAACUUUCAAAGAAAGUUUGGAACCCAAAUUGCUGCCAGGAUGGAAUAUUACUAUGUCUGAAUCCAGUGCUCUUGCAACCGUUUGAACAGCAGUUCUAAGUGAGAUGCUCUGAGCUCUCCAGGACCACAGAUUCCAGCAAUUUAUGUUUUUGAGAUGGAGUUUUCUUGAUUCCCAUUGGAACAAAAAGAUUCUGUCAUUAGCGAGAUACUUGUGUGACCUUCAGAGCUGUGUCUCCAAUUUCUUCCUAGCUUCUUGCUGGUCUGUUCAGCCUGCAGUCUUUUGGGACAAUGAUGAGCUACAUAUUUCUCGAGCGCAAAAUAGAAAAAUAAGUGAACCAGAGAGAAGCAAGUAUUUAAAUAUUUGUAACUGAAGUUGAACUUCCAGUAUCUUCAAAUGGACAAGGCAUGCAUAAUAGAAGUAAAGUCUACAUGAAGAUGUGCAAAACCAAAAUAUUUGGAUCCUCUUUAGUGUCUUAAUAUUGCUUCAAAAUGCCAUAAAAUAAAAUCAAAUUAUACUUUGUUGUAGCACUGGUCAAACUAG